rnacentral:rRNA from 1 species
AGUGAACGCUGGCGGUAGGCCUAACACAUGCAAGUCGAACGGCAGCACAGUAAGAGCUUGCUCUUACGGGUGGCGAGUGGCGGACGGGUGAGGAAUACAUCGGAAUCUACUUUUUCGUGGGGGAUAACGUAGGGAAACUUACGCUAAUACCGCAUACGACCUACGGGUGAAAGCAGGGGAUCUUCGGACCUUGCGCGAUUGAAUGAGCAGAUGUCGGAUUAGCUAGUUGGCGGGGUAAAGGCCCACCAAGGCGACGCUCCGUAGCUGGUCUGAGAGGAUGAUCAGCCACACUGGAACUGAGACACGGUCCAGACUCCUACGGGAGGCAGCAGUGGGGAAUAUUGGACAAUGGGCGCAAGCCUGAUCCAGCCAUACCGCGUGGGUGAAGAAGGCCUUCGGGUUGUAAAGCCCUUUUGUUGGGAAAGAAAAGCAGCAGGUUAAUACCCCGCUGUUCUGACGGUACCCAAAGAAUAAGCACCGGCUAACUUCGUG